CAAAUUAGCUAGUUUAUUGGAUACUGAAACAUGGUGAAGCUAUUUGUUAUUGCUUCAGUGUUUGUAUUUCUUGUCCUGUUUAGCACUUUGGGUGAGCAAUAUUAAGUUUCUAUACGAAGUAUUAACUUUUUUUUUUUUUUUUUUUAAAUUGGUAUAUUAAUCAUGGCCCGAAGGCUUACAAGGACAAGGCCCGAAGGCUACUGAUGCUACUACCUAAGUGUCCACACCGCCACCUUGCAACUCGAGCAAUUUUGCUACUCAGGGACUUGCUUUCGCUGAAGAACACCUAGCCACAUCAUCAUCAUGGGAGAACACCUUACCACAAAUCAUCAUCAUAAGAGAAUGGGCCUCCUAAUCUCGAACCAGGCCCGAAAGCUGACCCACCUAAGAAUUACAUGAGAAAUUCCCCCAAACACUGUUGAUGGGAAUUGAACUCACAACCUC
rnacentral:lncRNA from 1 species